AAGGCGAGAGGAAAUGUCACUACGGAAGGAGGGCCGAGAGGUCCGCCACUACCUUUAAGGGCCUACGCCAACCGUAGAACCCAACACCAAGCUGAUCAAAACUUUGACAUGACGCUUGAACAGGCUGGCAUCGAUAAUGAUGGCGCGAAAAGCGACAAGCAAAGAGAAUUGGAGACAUUGAAUUCUGCACUUAACAUUGAUCAUCCAUUGUCGCUGCCAGCUUUCUGGAUGCCAGAACCGAUCGAGCGGCUGUUCAAACUUUUGACUCUUUGUUUGUGUCACUCUCAACGAAUGACGUUAACCCAUAAUGGGAGUGUCCUCCCGUGGGGGCCCCCUCCUGUGCACGGGUAAAGUUCCGUCAGACGUCGUUUUUGGGAGAGGCCUACCCCCGCGAAGCACCAAAUUUUUACUAAGGUUGAAAGUCGGAUCAGAGCGGUAAUACCCGCAAGAAAUCUCCGCCGCAGGAUAACGCUAGGGAAAACC
rnacentral:misc_RNA from 1 species